GUAGGGGGCAAGCGUUGUCCGGAUUUACUGGGUGUAAAGGGCGUGCAGCCGGGAAUGCAAGUCAGAUGUGAAAUCCAUGGGCUUAACCCAUGAACUGCAUUUGAAACUGUAUUUCUUGAGUACUGGAGAGGCAAUCGGGAUUCCUAGUGUAGCGGUGAAAUGCGUAGAUAUUAGGAGGAACACCAGUGGCGAAGGCGGAUUGCUGGACAGCAACUGACGGUGAGGCGCGGAAGUGUGGGGAGCAAACAGGAUUAGAUACCCUGGUAGUCCACACUGUAAACGAUGAAUACUAGGUGUGCGGGGACUGACCCCCUGCGUGCCGCAGUUAACACAAUAAGUAUUCCACCUGGGGAGU
rnacentral:rRNA from 1 species